GGAAGAAGUAAAAGCUUAGGAGGUCUUCUUUGCAAUGACGUGAUUCCAACUGUAUCACUUUAGUGUAUGUGAACUCUGUUAACUUCAUCCAUGAUAGAAAAGUAAUGCGAUGACUGGUUAGAAUGACUUCCCUUCCACCAUUUGCUUCAACGGGGAAUUACUUGAUGAAGAUGACCGUUUAUUGGAGCAAAAGAAUCAUCGAGGCACCUCCAAAAUUUAUAUAUCACAGUAGUAUCUGAUGUCCACAAGACACAGUAGAGAAGAGUCGGAGUGUUUAGUUGUGUCACUUGAGAUAUCACGUUCAUGUGUGCACUCUCAAUGUUGAAGGUAAACAAUAUAGUUGCGAUUGUUGUUGCCGCUAAAGCCCUUUUCUUGUUGCAGUGAGUUAUCCGGUAAGGCUGUAAUAGAUUAGCAGGUAUCUUGUAAAAUUAGUUAAGGCGUGCAUAAGAUGAUUGAGACAUCGUAAUUAUCUACUUAAACACAAGGUGAUUUUCUUCAUCUAUAAAGUUACCCUGUACUUGUGUUACAUCGGUGAAACGAAGCA
rnacentral:misc_RNA from 1 species